rnacentral:rRNA from 1 species
AGUUAACGUUGGCGGCGUGCCUAACACAUGCAAGUCGAACGCGUCCUAAGGGCAACUUUAGGAUGAGUGGCGAACGGGUGAGUAUCACGUGGGUAAUCUUCCUUCAAGUGGGGGAAUAAGCUCUCGAAAGGGAGUCUAAUACCGCAUGACAUUCCGGGACACAAGUCCCGUAAUCAAAGCCGCAAGGCGCUUGAAGAUGAGCCUGCGUCCUAUUAGCUAGUUGGUGGGGUAACGGCCUACCAAGGCUUAGAUGGGUAGCCGGCCUGAGAGGGUGAACGGCCACACUGGGACUGAGACACGGCCCAGACUCCUACGGGAGGCAGCAGUGAGGAAUUUUGCGCAAUGGGGGAAACCCUGACGCAGCGACGCCGCGUGGGAGGAUGAAGGCCUUCGGGUCGUAAACUCCUGUCAGAGGUGAAGAAUACCCGCAAGGGUUUGACGGUAACCUCAGAGGAAGCCCCGGCUAACUACGUG